GCGCCCGCCACCAUGCCCAGCUAAUUUUUGUAUUUUUAGUAGAGACGGGGUUUCACCAUGCUGGCCAGGCUGGUCUCGAACUCCUGGCCUCAGGUGAUCCACUUGCCUCAGCCUCCCAAAGUGCUGGGAUUACAGGCGGGAGCCACCGUGCCCGGCUGUUUUGUUUUUAUAGAAGCAGUUUUUCUUGAAUUUUAGUCCUGAGAGAAAUACAGUUUCCUCAUAAAGAUGAUGUAGUGAGCCUAGUGGGAACUAUGUGUCAUAAGGAGUGACACCCAAAUCCCCUCAAUGGAAACUGUUGGCACAAUCACAAAGCACAGUGCAUUAAAUCAAUUCUAUGAAUUGGCCAGGCAUAGUGGCUCAGGCCUGUAAUCCCAGUAGUUUGGGAGGCUGAGGCAGGAGGAUUGCAUGAGCCCACGAGUUAGAGACCGGCCUGGACAACAUGGUGAAGCCCCAUCUCUACAAAAUUAGCUGAGUGUGGUGAUGUAUGCUUGUAGUCCCAGCUACUUGGGAGGCUGAAGUGAGAGGAUCAUCUGAGCCUAGGGAGGCUGAGGCUGCAGUGAGCCGUGAUCACACCACGGCAUUACAGCCUGGGCAACAGACUGAGACCCUGUAUCAAAAAAAAAAAAAAUUCCAUGAACCAUCAACAUAUUUCUGUUCACUUGAAUACACAAGCCCUCAAUGGUCUGGCUUAAUCCAGGGUAGCAUUUAGAUCAUCUUUCCCCAGGAUGGCAAAUAGGUUUCAACUCACAUGUUAACUCUGAACUAUUUGUAGUAGCUGCCUGAAUAACUAUGUUGAGAAGUUUGGGGGCUUUGUCCAGGCUCAGAAAGAAAAAGUUCUGUACUCAGUUAACAAUGCUGUGGGUGCAGGAUAGGUAAGUGGCUGCAUGCAAUAACCUACCUGGUACCUCUGCUUUGUAGAAAUAGAGGUCUUGCAUGCAGAACUUUGUGCAGUCACUCAAAAUCAACAAUUCUCGUGGCCAGGAACUAAACUAUAAAUGAUAGAAGGCAGUGCUACUCAAGUGCUAGCCUAUGAACUGCUAGGUACUCUGGUUCAAGCUGAGAUAAGCUUGAACUAGAAUGUAAAAUCUGAUAUGUCAUUAAACACAGUGGUUAUUUAGGAUGUCAUAUUUUUUCUUUUUUCUUUUUUUUUUUUUUUUUGAGACAGAGUUUCACUCUUGUUGCCCAGGCUGGUAUGCAAUGGCUGAUCUCGGCUCACUGCAACCUCCACCUCCCAGGUUCAAGUGAUUCUCCUGCCUCAGCCUCCUGAGUAGCUGGGAUUACAGGCAUGCAACACCAUGCCCAGCUAAUUUUUUGUAUUUUUAGUAGAGACGGGGUUUCACCAUGUUGGUCAGGCUGGUCUUGAACAGCUGACCUCAGGUGAUCCACCCACCUGGGCCUCCCAAAGUGCUGGAAUUACAGACAUGAGCCACCGCACCUGGCCAGGAUGCCAUAUUUUUUCAUAGCCAGGCUUUCUUGAUCUGAUUAGUAGGAUAUUUCUGGGCAGCAAACACAGGAAGCCACAUUUAUAGUACUUACUACAGUCUUUUACACAAUAAAUCUUCACUGUUUGUAUGCCCUUUUUACUUGUGUAUAGAGCUACACUUUUUCCCUCUCAUAGCAGCAAGAUUUGCUACACAUAAUUCUUCAUCUACCAGCAAUAAAUAUUUCACUUUUAUUUUUUUAAACAGUAAAGAUUUUAGAAUCACAUAUUAGUUCCCUUCUUUUCCCACCUUCUGUUCUAUUUCUGCCUUGAAGACAGUGGGAACAUUCACAAAGUUGAGCUAGAAGGAGCACAGAGAAAAGAACAAUUUUUCAACAAAACAUUUUUAUUAAGUUCACCCUGACCCUGAGAAUUCUGCCUCAUGUAUAGAAAAUGUUUCAAAUGUAAGACAUUUCUUGCCUGAAAACAGAAACAAAAAUUGGGACCAAAUAUGGUUUGUAUUAAGUUACUGUGUUCAUUUUUAUGUAGUUAGCAACAGCUCAUCUUCUUCCACAAAUGAUUUGAGGCAGUUUCAAAAUUAAAGACAAUAUUGGAUAAAAGAAAUAGCUGAAGGAACCACGGAAAGGGAAGUUUAAAGGAAAGAGAAUAAUGCAGCCAAUGAUAAAAUAAACAAGUCACCAAGCCUGAACUUUUUCCUUCUUAGCACAGAGGAAAAUGUCCUUGCUAAAGGUGGGCCAGAGAUUUGGCUCUAAGCUUCUGAAUGCCCAUAGCAAGAGAGAAUCACCAUCAUUUUAAGGUUUUCCAGUGUUAAUAAUAUAUAUAAUUGAGACAGAGUCUCGCUCUGUCGCCCAGGCUGGAGUGCAGUGGCAUCAUCUUGGC
rnacentral:lncRNA from 10 species